rnacentral:lncRNA from 1 species
GGAUAUUACCACAAUUGUCUACACCUAUUGAUUCUCCAGUACACGUGGUGGAAAGCACGGUCACCAAAUUGGCAUAUUACAGAUACAUACAGACACUAGUCACAGAACAAAGAGCACAUGAAACAGGAACUGUGGAAUAACACUACGUUCCCAAAGAAAACAUGACUGUGAUAGAUCACAGAAUGAAAGCCCCAGAGCACACAGCAGAGAAGUACAGCAACUGGAGUCAACAUUUACAGAAAACCCUGUACGAAGACUAUGGCACUACCAACUGAUCAACAUCCAGGGUGAGAAGGGCCCAUCACCUGCACAUAAAUAUUUGGAGAGUGGCGACAACCUGAAGACAGCUAGCUGCAAAGUGAUAUUCCAGAAUAAGUUUUGAAGCUCCAGAUGGUGAGAGAUUAUGGUGUUUACAAGUAUAAUUGGGGGAUAAAAGAAAGUUAUCAAAUUGUAGAGGCAAUCUCUAGGUGCUGAAGGAUUAUGGACUCCCCCAUGAAUUGAAGGUUAGUUCAGGAAAGUUCUUUAUUCUAAGUCUGGAGAUGCCUUCAAAUCAGAGCAGCAUAGAAAGGAAGAGUAAGUCUGGAGUUGGUGGGGUAGUCUGGUGCACAGACAGAGAGAAAGGACUUGGCUUUCUUGGAGAUCAUGUGAGCUGAUAGAAUAGCUCUUACAGUGAACACAGUAAGUACCAAUAAGAUUGAACAAACUAGGAAAACCCAGUGAAGAAAAAGGGUCCUCUG